GAAACAGUAGUCAUGCUAACUCUCCUAGCCUGGUCCUAUACAGAAACAGUAGUCAUGCUAACUCUCCUAGCCUGGUCCUAUACAGAAACAGUAGUCAUGCUAACUCUCCUAGCCUGGUCCUAUACAGAGACAGUAGUCAUGCUAACUCUCCUAGCCUGGUCCUAUACAGAAACAGUAGUCAUGCUAACUCUCCUAGCCUGGUCCUAUACAGAAACAGUAGUCAUGCUAACUCUCCUAGCCUGGUCCUAUACAGAAACAGUAGUCAUGCUAACUCUCCUAGCCUGGUCCUAUACAGAGACAGUAGUCAUGCUAACUCUCCUAGCCUGGUCCUAUACAGAGACAGUAGUCAUGCUAACUCUCCUAGCCUGGUCCUAUACAGAGACAGUAGUCAUGCUAACUCUCCUAGCCUGGUCCUAUACAGAAACAGUAGCCUGGCUAGCUAGCCAGAGACUGAGAGAAGCAGAGUUUGGCCAAAGCGAGACAUUUCAACCUGUAAAAACAUUAGACAAAGGGAAAGGGUGCAACUCUACCCUACUGCCUUCAUAAACUACAGGACAGCUCCUCAAUCGUGGUGAGCAGCAGUAGUGCUUCUGGGAUACUGAGUCUGGAAGUCCAUCAGUAGGAUCAGAGGAGCACAUGUAAAGAGUUGACCGUACUGUCUUUAUAUUCCACUCAGGUGCUAGCCGGGUCCCAUACCCUCCUACACACUAGUCCACUUCCCUAACCCCUACAAACUAGUCCCCUUCCUUAACCGCUACCCUCCUGCAGACUAGUCCCCUUCCUUAACCCCUACCCUACUACAAACUAUCCCCUUCCUUAACCCCCUACCCUACAACAAACUAGUCCCCUUCCUUAACCCCUACCCUCCCACAAACUAGUCCCCUUCCUUAACCCCUACAACAAACUAGUCCCCUUCCUUAACCCCUACCCUCCCACAAACUAGUCCCCUUCCUUAACCCCUACCCUACUACAAACUAGUCCCCUUCCUUAACCCCUACAACAAACUAGUCCCCUUCCUUAACCCCUACCCUACCCUACAAC
ensembl:lncRNA